UUUAACUUCGAUGUGGUUUCGCUCUCAUUCUAUACCUCUCCCCUCCCAAACAGACCGACUACUCGGAGAUCGCUGAUGCGAGGUCCCACCGUCGUUGGCAGAGCCCCGGCUGCGGUCGGUGAUCGCUAGAGAGUUGCUUUCUAAGAGGCAGCACUCAGUGUCCCAUGCCGCCAUGUCUCCCACCAUCUUUCCUUUGACUGAGGCGAGUCCCCAAAAACCACUCCUCUUUUGCGUAAUUUGAGCCUCAUGUUAGAUUUGGCGGUCUUAAGAUCUCUUUGUUUUGUGGGUUAUGAUGAUGGUUUGGCUAGUGAAUGCUUAUAGAAUUUGAUGGAUAGAAGCCGAAAAAAUGGAAUCUUUGAUUUCUUCUUCACACUUAUGGAGGGUUUUUUCUUGCUCCAAGUUAAACUCAGCUGAGUUGGAGACUCAUUUUUGGUGAUUUGGUCAGAUGGACUUCAGAUUGAAGAAUUAACCUGGAGAUGAGAUUUUGGGCCAAGCUUGGCUCUUGAGUGGUGGUUGUAUGGUAUUCUUUAGGUGUGAGCUUGGCCUUGAUUUGGUGCUUGAGAGAAUGUGUGAGGUUAUCUUGUGAUCGCAUCAAUCCUCUGGUCCAAUGGUUUUCAGGAUUGUGUUUAAUUUCAGGGAGAAGGAUGUUUCUGCGAAGAACAACAAAGUCUAGAAUAAGUUACAUCCCCAAAGGUCAAAGACGUAACCUCCUUGUUGGUUAACAAAUCCUGGUCAACACCGUUGAGUCCUUGUCAAUAGCCUACUCCACCUUUAGACCAUGGGUGCGACGACCCGUGCGGGCGUGUGUUUAGUCCCAUAUAGGUUAUUUGUUGGAGAGAUCUUGAGCACUUAUACAUGACCAAGAAACUUAAAAAAUAUUUUUUUGUUAAUCUUUUCAUAUGAGAUAUUAGGUUGUUAUAAAUAGUAUCAGAGCGGUGCUUGUGAUUGAAUUUGAAUGGAUUUGAACUCUUAGCCCGACGAGGACAUCGGGCUUAAACGUGAAAAGUAUGCAACGACCCGUGCAAGUGUGUGUUUUGCUAAGGAGAUUGUAGAUACUUGUACAAGACUAAGAAACUCAAAAAAUAUCUUCCGACUAGCUUUUUUUGGGUAAGAUCCUGGGUGAGGUCUUUGGUUGUUACAAUGGGGGACUUCAUUAUGAUCAGACAUGUAUCACCAAAGAGAUGCGAAGAAAGAAAGCUCGUUAAGGGUUUAAAUGAGUAGGAGCAUAAAUGAUUUUAGCCUUGUUUGUGCUCGGCUCGAAAAUGUUUAUGAUCAUCUCAAGCUUUUGCUUAAGCUUGAGUCAAGCUAAGAAGGUCCAGCUCGAGUCAAGCUAGCUCAAGUUUAUCUUGUUUGAGCUCAGAAAAUGUUAGGUCAUAGUGUUAUCAAAAUGAGAAAAGGUGGAAUCAGGGGGAGAGAGAAAAGGGAAAAGGAAGAGGGAGAGAGCUCCUUGUUGUCCAAUUUUGUUUUCCCCAACAUGGGGAAGGUUAGGAGGCAGAGAAGUGGAGGGAGAUCUGAGAGUACAUGAGUCCAGGAUCAUGUCAAGGGUGUGGCAAUGGAGGAGGAGAGAGAGCUCCUUAGGAUGUCUUGGGGAAGUGACACGGGUAGGAGGUGGACAUGGUGGUGGGAGAAGAGAGGGGAAAGAGGUGAUGAGGUGUAAUGAAAAAUGAUUAGGGUUCUUGUGUGUCUUAUAGGUCAAUAGAUUUGGCCAUAGGAUAAAAAUCCAAUGGUUAAUUUGUUUAACCAUUGGAUCAAGAUAAUAAACUGGCUAUGUAUAUAUCUUCUAGUCUAUUAACAGAGAAUGGUAUAUUUCUUUUUCAUGACAAUGCCAAUCUAAGAUUGCUGAUGUUGAAAAUCAAAUCCAAGAAAUAACCCACUCACUGUCUCAGCCAAUAAGUCAAUGCAAUUCUUCCAUUUUUCCCUUUUAUUCAUUCCUAUUGAUGAAGUAUUUUGAGAUGUGAUGCAAUUGUUCUUUCCAUUUUUUCCUGGUAAUCUGGAAGUGCAGGAGGAUAACCAGACAGAUGGCACUGUCUUAAAAAAAAAACCUUAAAAAAGGAAGGAUAUUUAUUAAUAUCUCUUUGUUCAUUGGCCAUGUUCAUAUGUUUUGGUCAGUGAUUGUUCCAUAUUGGUAUGCGUUGAGUGUUCAUGUUUUCUCUCAUUUGUGAGGGAGGGGAAUCUUCUGUUAGGUUGGAUGGCAAGGUGUGUGGAUUAUUUUGUGCGAGUUUAUCUCAAGCCCUCACUUCUCAAUAGAGUUAUAGUUGGUUAUGGUAGGAUAUAUGAAAGCAGCUCUUUGUGAAGGGACUAUUAUUGGGGGGAGAUGUGUUUACUGGGGCCAUGCAUAUUGACACAUGGACCUAAGAGUGCAAAUGCAUUUUCCUUUCAUUUGUGUAAGAUUGUUUCCUUGCUUAGAUUAAGGUGACCACAAUUGAUUAUCUUAUGACCAGGGAGUAAAAAGAGUAUGAAAAGUUGUUUCAAAGCCUUUUUUUUUUUGCAGGAUUCGAGCAAGUAUGUUAUUCUGCUGCAAAUUAAUGGAAUUGGUGGUGGAAUAUUCAAGUCCUGUAGUUCUUUAUAUAAGCUGAAUGCAUAGAUCAUAUUAGGAUGAAUUAAUCAUUCACAAGUUAUCUUCAUACACAAUUUUUUGGUUUACUCCAUACACCUCUAUGCCAUUUGCAUUUCCCACACAGAACUUCUAUGACUUAAUUAUGACUUAAAUAUGACUUCAUGCAGGCCCCGGAACCUGUGGCUAGCUCUCUACUUUCAUUCUCGGACAACUGGUAACUAAGAAAGCUUACUUCUCAUCCAGCAGAUACAGUUUCAUUCAGCCAUACUGCAGAAAAUCAAGAAAAAGAAAAAACAUUCUUUGAAUGCCCAGUGUGAAGAAUCAUCGAAGGGAGCGAAGCAAUGACGUAGUGGAGAUGGUCAUUACGACAUUUUCUAUUGUUAGAGGGACGUAGGAGUGGCACUUGAAUCCCAGAAACUAGUUGAUUGGCCUGGUACAGCUGCUUGUAAAAGAAAUCAAAUGCAGCAGAUAAAAGCUCACUUGUAAAAGGAGUCAAAUAGACGCCGGUUGUUAGGAAAAAUGAAGAUACUCAUUCUUGUCUGGAGUUGGAUGAUUGGAUGAUUUAUUAGCUACUUUGUUUUUUCUUUCCAUUUGUGCUAGUGUAUCUAUG
rnacentral:lncRNA from 1 species